UGAAGACAUAGAAUACCGCUUGCGGUAGGCGAACGGGGGAGAACUGAAACAUCUAAGUACCCCCAGGAAGAGAAAACAAUUGUGAUUUCCCAAGUAGUGGCGAGCGAAAAGGAAAAAGCCCAAACCAGUCAAGCGUGCUUGAUUGGGGUUGUAGGACUAUAAUGUGGACUACAGAAUCAAAGUUGAAGUGAAUGGAAAGUCACACGAUAAAGAGUGAUAGUCUCGUAAACGAAAAAUUCUGUUACCUAAUAGUAUCCUGAGUACCGCGAGGUCGGAGACGCCUUGUGGGAAUCUGCCGGCACCAUCCGGUAAGGCUAAAUACUCCUCAGACACCGAUAGCGAACUAGUACUGUGAAGGAAAGGUGAAAAGAACCGCGAACAGCGGAGUGAAAUAGAACCUGAAACCGUACGCUUACAAGCGGUUGGAGUGGCUUCGUGCCAUGACAACGUGCCUUUUGCAUAAUGAUCCUACGAGUUACUCGUCACUGGCAAGGUUAAGAAUUUAAUAUUCGAAGCCGUAGCGAAAG
rnacentral:rRNA from 1 species